UCCCUGGUGGUCCAGUGGUUAGGACUCUGCGCUUUCACUGCCGUGGGCACAAGUUCAAUCCCUGGUUGGGGAA
rfam:TPA: Bos taurus chromosome 18, whole genome shotgun sequence.